UAGUCCACGCUGUAAACGAUGUCAACUAGCCGUUGGGCCUAUUUACAGGUUUAGUGGCGCAGCUAACGCGAUAAGUUGACCGCCUGGGGAGUACGGCCGCAAGGUUAAAACUCAAAGGAAUUGACGGGGCCCGCACAAGCGGUGGAGCAUGUGGUUUAAUUCGAUGCAACGCGAAGAACCUUACCAGCCCUUGACAUCCAGUGAACUUUCUAGAGAUAGAUUGGUGCCUUCGGGAACACUGUGACAGGUGCUGCAUGGCUGUCGUCAGCUCGUGUCGUGAGAUGUUGGGUUAAGUCCCGUAACGAGCGCAACCCUUACCCUUAGUUGCCAGCACAUUAUGGUGGGAACUCUAAGGGGACUGCCGGUGACAAACCGGGAGGAAGGUGGGGAUGACGUCAAGUCAUCAUGGGCCCCUUAUGGGGCUGGGGCUACACACGUGCUACAAUGGGCCGGUACA
rnacentral:rRNA from 1 species